rnacentral:lncRNA from 1 species
UCUUCAGAUGAACUGAUUUUUGUGCAGAGCACACGUGUUGGAUUCUGCCUGGUGCGGAUCGAUGAGUACGAUCACUCCAAGCUCAUCCAGGGGCAACAGAAGAAGCCCUUUGAGGAGCACUGGAGGAAGCACACCCUGUCCUAUGUGGACGUCAGCACUGGGAAGGUCACUCUGGAAUAUAGACCCAUAAUCGACAAAACUUUGAACGAGGCUGACUGUGCCACCGUCCCCCCAGCCAUUCGCUCCUACUGAUGAGACAAGAUGCGGUGAUGACAGAAUCAGCUUUUGUAAUUACGUAUAAUAGCUCAUACAUGUGUCCAUGUCAUAACUGUCUUUAUACGCUUCUGCACUCUGGGGAAGAAGGAGUACAUUGAAGGGGGAUUGGCACCCAGUGGCCGGGGAGCGUGACACUUACCUUUGUCCCUUGCUUCAUUCUUGUGACAAUAUAAAACUGGGCACAGCUCUUAAAUAAAAUAUAAAUGAACAAACUUUCUUUUAUUUCCAAAUCCAUGUCAAAUAUUUUACUGUUAUGACGUGUCAUAUUUGUUGACCUAAAAAUCAAAUGUAAUUAUCUUUGUAUUCUGUUACAUCAAAAUCCAGAUAUUUUG